rnacentral:tRNA from 1 species
AUUUAAGUAAUUUAAUUAAAAAUUUUGAUUUGUGGUGUCAAAUAUGUAAAAUAUUACCUUAAAUU